rnacentral:lncRNA from 1 species
GAAAACAACACAAUAGAAGGAGAUGAAGAAGAAAAAUUGCAUGAAAUUAAAGAUAGAUAGAAAGACCCUUACUUCUACUAAAUGAUUAACAAAAGAUGGUGUAUCAAACCAUCAAUCACACCUCAUCAAUAGAAGUUCAAACCUUCCUCUUAGGUGACCCAAAGGACUCACACUUCCUCAAGCACACCUUUCUUGCAAAUUUCCCAAGACAAGUGAAAAAUCAUUUCAAUGUUCAAGGGACCUAAUUUCGGAUUCUAAGGCUACACUAGAAGACUAAAGCUACAAAUUAAGAGUAACGUUCAAUAUCAUCAAAAGUCUAAUGAAAAUAGUAUCUAAAGUUUCUAUUUAUACUAUUACAUAACAACUAAAUUACCCUUAAUGAGGCUUAGGGAGAGUUGCCCUUGGAGUGUGGUCUUUUGAAGCGUAAAGACCACUAUGCCCUUAAUGAAUAGGCGCCUAUGUGAUGUAGUGAUCCCUCCUUCUCUUCAAUUUGAUCAAGGCUUUGAAAAGGCUCCAAAAGGGUCUUCAAGCACUUGCCAAAUCCGAACUUGAACCUUCUACAAGACCUUGAAAUCCUUGUGCUCCUCGUGCUUGUAUCAUCCUCUCCAUCUUGAAAGAAUUUGUCCUCAAAUUUAGAUCUUGCAAAAACUAAAGAAAGAGCAAAACAAACACACAAUCCUCUCGGUAGGAAGGUUAGUAUUAGUACCACACUCAUAUCAUCAACCCAUGGUUGCUCACACUUGACAUACACCCACAUAUUCUUAGUAUUUGACAUAAAAGCUUAUCAUAAAGGAUACCAAAUACAUGAAUAACAUCAAUAUCAAAGAUAAAUGAGCACGACCAACAACUAUAAUCUUCACAUCUCAAGAAUAUUCCGGGGUCAAAUGGGAGCAAAUGAUAAGGGUUUAAGUCGAGAUGGCCCACUCCUUUCACUAUGCUACCAAGUUCACAAUUAUUCAAGGCAUUACCCACCCCUAGGACAAACACAAGGUUACUAUGAACAAGAUUAAUAUAAUGGCUUUCAUUACACAAGUUCAAAGAACCAUGUUGAAUAUCAAGACCAUCAUUCCCAGCAUCAACACUAACUUGAAAGUUUUCAACCACACUAUUCUCAUAUUCAAGUAGUGAACUAAUCUUAGGUGUACAUGGUUUAUUAUACAUAUCAAGAGAGCCAACAAGAGAAGAAUCAUAUACACCUACAUCAAGAAAUUAUGAAACCUCUACAUAAGGAAUCACAUGACAACAAUUUGAGCUCAAGGAAAUAUCAGGAAUAGCAUCACUACCUCGGUUUGGACUAGGACAGUCCACUCCUUUGAAGCCACUUUCGGCCAAGGGUCUUUUGAGGCCACUUUCAUGUUAGAUUUAUUGUUGAUCCUUCUUUGAUAAUUCAUGAGAUUGAACCUGAAAAUAAGGAGAAUAAAGGAUAGGUAAAAUUCUAGCCUUUGGGUUAGUGAGUAUCGAGGGACCUUUGUGGGCAAGUCCCACAAAUAAAGUUGUCUCCCCCUUUCCCUUCUCACAAUCUGAAACCUUUUUUCCCUUUUCCUUCUUUAUUUUCUCAUCCAACUUCUUGGUUUUCUCUUGGAUUCCAUUCACACUAGAUGAUGGAAGAGGAAUAAGAGUGAAUCUUCGACCACCAUGCUCAAAAGUGUACCUAUUAGCCCUUCUAUCAUGCAUCGUGUGUCUAUCAAAUUGCCAAGGCCUUCCCAACAAGAUGUGAUAUACAUGCAUAGGGAUUACAUCACACUUCACUUCAUCAAGAUAAUUUCCUAUUUUGAAUCUAAUCACAUAUUGCCGUUUGACCUUCAAUUUACCAUACUUGUUUAACCAUUGAAGCUUGUAUGGGUUCGGGUGAGAGAUAGUGGGUAAUUUUAAGUGAUCAACCAAAGUGACACUAACAAUGUUCACACCACUUCAACUAUCUAUAAUCAUUGAACUCAUACUUCCUUUAGUAAGGUACUUGGUAUGAAAGAGGUCCUCUCUUUGAUCAUCCAAGACCUUACUAAACAAAGUCCUCCAAACCACAUAACUAGGGACAUCACAUUCCCCUUCACAAGGCAACACCUCUUCUUCACUUCUCUCUUGAGUUUUGGGUUCUACGCACUUUCCAUCUUGAGAGUUGUCAUCAUUCCCCUCAGUUUCUAAUUCAAAUUCUUCACCAAGAUAGUACAACCUACCUUCCCUUAGGAUCAUAUUUCUAUGAGUAUCACACUCACUUGCCCGAUGAACCCAACCUUGACACUUGAAACAUUGUAAGCCCUUAGUUGAAGUAGGAAGGGCAUUCGGCUUUACCUCCAACUUUGGAGGUGGGUAUGACACUUGCUUGUUUGAGAUUUGAGAAGAAGGAAAAGAUGAAGAAGAUUUGUUUUUGUUCCAAUCCGAAGUCAAAGGAAUUACCUCUUUGUUUCUUGUUAAACCCGAACAUUGUUAGAUUUUGAACUUGUAAGCCGAACUCUCUUUGUUCUCUUUUUCAAUAUCCAUGGCCGCUUGGAAGACUUCAACCACGGUUCUAAACUUUUAAAGAGUCGAACGGGAUGAUAUGUCCUUGUUCAAUCCAACCUUGAAGCGAAUAACAUCAUGUAUAACUUCUUUACCUCUAUGAUCAAGCAUCAAAAUGAGUUGCUGAAAUUCGUCAUAAUAGGCCAUGGCACUUUUGCUUCCUUGCUUUAGAUUGUAAAGCUUGGAAAGAAGUUCAUGUCUAUAUUGUUCUGGUACAUACCUCUCUCUCAUUACUCUUUUUAAGUCUUUCCAAGGAGGUAGUUGGCCACCAAUUAAGACACUCCCGAACCUCUUAGUGUAAUCCCACCAAGUGUUGGCAUAUCCUUUAAAGUGUGCAAUGGCAUAACAAUUUUUCUUCUUCUCGGUUAAGUCAUUCACUUGGAACAACUUUUCACAAGAAGAUUCCCAAGCUAAGUACACCGCGGGAACACUUUAUCCCUUGAAGAUAGGAAUGCCAACCUUGAUUGAAUUAAUGCCAAUGUCUCAGAUUCUUGGUUGAUCACUAUGCCCAUGCCUUGCAUCUUGCCCUCGGAAUCUACCACAAGGUCCUCUUUGCUCAUAUCUUCCCCCCUCUUCUUUACCAAACCAAUAUCAUCGUGAGGAACUUCAUAGCCUUCGUGCUCCCCUCUACCAUAAUCCUCUAUUUUGAUGGGUGGGUUUUGGAUUUGAGGCCUUUGGGGAAGUGGGUUUGGUCUUUGAUUAUUUGGGACUUGAACUUGUGCUAUUGGGGGUAGUGGAUGGUAAGGUCUUUGCUCCAUGGGAUUAGGUAUUUGGUAAGUGGUAUGUUGUGGAGGUAUUUGGUUCAGAUUUAGUGGUGGAAUUUGAGUUCCAAGUCCCUCUUGUUGGACUUGGUUCAUUUGGGAAUGUAGUGGUCUUUGUAGGGUUCGGUUAGGAGAGGUUUGGGAUUGGUUUAGUGGCUGGGUUUGUGGAGCUCUUGGAGGGGUAAGCAUUUGGUGGAGGGUUUCGGGUGUUAUAGUCAUGGAAGAGUUAUUGGCUUGGACCCUAGACGAUGCAUGGUAGGGAUUAGGAGUAGAAGGUCGGGAUUUCCUUCUACUUUCAACACAAUCAAGCCUUCCACUAAAAGUGAAAAUUUCACCCUUCAUGGUCACUAUUUCACUCCUCAAGGCAUCAUGACUAUCUUCCAUUUUUCGGGCAAAGGCAUCACUAGUACUCUUCACUUCUCGGCCCAAGGCAUCAAUCCGAGCCAUCAAAGCUCCAAUAACAUCAUUUCCCAAAGGUUGGGAAGUAGUUUCUUCGGAUUCCUUGUCAAAUGUACCUAAAAGAACAAAAAAAAAAACAGCAAGCAAACAACCUACAAAAUGAGCAAACAAGUUAGUUCAAAAGCCUCAAUUCACUCACACUCAACCUCACCUCACAAUUGGCCUCACAAGUGUUGGAGAUUCGACAAUACUUGGCAAGUUACUUGAGAUGUGAGAAACUUUGGUCCGGAAUCUAUCUUUGUUUGAAAUGACUCAAAUAAAGCGAUGCACGACUUGAACCAAUAAAAUACUACGACUUAAAAAUGAGAAAAGCACACAAAAACCGAAGACACGAAAUAAACGAACUCUAGACUAAUUACCAACCUAGUAGGUACUUAUUAGUUUGGUAAUUAGUGAUAGAAUUAGCUUAAAAGAAACUAGAAUAAAAAAAAUUAAAAACUAGGAAAUUUAAUUUUAGAGUCAAAUUUGUUUGAGCACAAGUGAUGAUGUGUCACUACAUGGUUGGUUGUUACUUUUCAAAAUUUCAAAUUUCACAAAACCUAAUUUCGGCCAAACACCACUUUGGGAUGAAGAGAGUUUCGGAUUUUGAUGGGUAAGUAAGCAAUUUAGGGUUCUUUCAAGUCUCAAAUGGAAAUGGAAAUGCAAUGGUCCCCCCCUUUGUACUUGCAAGGGUACUUUGUUGUUCCCUUGUCCCCUACUCUUUUUGGAAGAAUGGAAUAUUCUUUGAAUAUGCUUUUGGACCAACAACUUUUUCACUCUCUUUCUUCCCUCUUUUGGAUCAAACAACACCUUUGAAUAUUCUUUUUCACUAAGAUAUGAAGAUCAAGGACAAACAAGAUGAAUAUUCAAGUGUUGACCAAGUUUGACCAACAAGCAAAUGGACUCCAAAUCUGAUUUUUUUUGUAGAUCUAGGUUCGUUAUGCUAAAACAAACUCAACCCACUAAAAAUCAGCCACAAAUCAAGUCACCAACACAAACCCAAAAUGUCACCUUCUCCAAAAAGCUUCAAACAAGCCACAACAAUGGUGGAUCUAGCUCAAAAUCAACCAAACUUCACUCUAAAAGUAGAUCUAGACACUUUUAGUGUUAGAGAACAAGAAUCUACCACUAGAAACUAUCAAAACAAGCUAAACAUUAGUUGAUCUAACUUCUAAAUACGGAUCUAACACAAGACAACACUAAACACCAUUUUUUUUUUGUAUUUUUGAAUUUUUGACUCUUUUUUGUAUUUUCUAAAUAAGAACACUAAAACCAAGAUUUAGGGAUGUUGGAACAACACUAACCAAGACUUUGAUACCAAAUGAUAGCCUAAAGGCUAUGAAUCAAUGAAAAUAGACACAAAAGAUGCAAAAUCCAGCAAGCACAUCAAAAGAAAACAACACAAUAGAAGGAGAUGAAGAUGAAGAAUUGCAUGAAAUUAAGAUAGAUAAAAAGACUCUUACUUCUACUAAAUGAUUAACAAAAGAUGGUGUAUCAAACCAUCAAUCAUACCUCAUCAAUAGAAGUUCAAACCUUCUUCUUAGGUGACCCAAAGGACUCACACUUCCUCAAGUACACCUUUCUUGCAAAUUUCCCAAGACGAGUGAAAAAUCAAUUUCAAUGUUCAAGGGACCUAAUUUCGGAUUCUAAGGCUACACUAGAAGACUAAAGCUACAAAUUAAGAG